rnacentral:tRNA from 1 species
GGCCCCGUAGCUUAGUUCGGUGGAGCGCACGACUGAUAAUCGUGAGGUCCGGUGUUCAAAUCACCGCGGGGCCA